AGUGUGGUCGACGCAGCUGGUUCGCCUCCUCAUCCAGGGGAGUCGUGGCAACAGGGAAUCCGGUGCAAGACCGGAACUGCCCCGCAGCGGUGAACGGGAACGACCGGUGUCACACGCACUGAGCCCUCUGCCUCGCACGAGGUACGGCUUGGGAAGCGACACCCAGUAGGCGGCGGCGCGCGAGCGCCACCUGGCCCGUGAGUCCGAAGACCUGCCAGUGCCACCCCGUCCCG
rnacentral:ncRNA from 2 species